GUUUAGUGGUGAUGAAGUGAAGUCAGUGAUAAAGGGAGAACCUGUCACUCUAAACCCUGAUCUCACUCAAAUACAGAAAGAUGAUCUGAUAGUGUGGACAUUUGGACAUGAAGACAGGCUGAUAGCUAAAAGUGAUGAAAAGCACGGGAUGGAGAAAUUUAGAGACAGACUGGAGCUGGAUACAAAGGGAUCUCUGACCAUCACAGACACCAGAACCACAGACUCUGGAUUUUAUGAACUAAAGAAUAUCAGAAACACACAGAUCUGGUUCAGGAAUUUCAUUGUGACUGUUCUUGAUGAAGAAGAGAUGGAGCCAGUGUUGGAGGGAGAAUCUGUCACUCUAAACAUUGAUCAAUCUGAAAUACAGCCAGAUGAUCUGAUCCUCUGGAAAUUUAAAGACAUGAUUCUAGCUAAAAACAAAGAGCUCUGCUCUGAACGUGAUGGACUGGAGCUGGAUCAUGAGACUGGAUCUCUGACCAUCAGGAACAUCACAAUCUCAAACUGUGGAUAUUAUAUACUACAGAUCAUCAACAGAGAAAUAACUAAAAAUAAGAGAUUCAAAGUUACACUCAAGGGUGAGUAACUCACGUAUUUCAGUCUGAUGACUGCAUUACAUUCAAAGCUUGUUGCAAUUGUCUUAAAAUAAUAAUCACUGAAAUUAAUAAUCUGUCCUUCGUGUAGUUCCAAACAUGUAUAACACUUAUGUGGAACACAAAAGAAAAUAUUUCAAAGAAUGUUUCAUGUUUUUGGUCUCCAUUGACUUUAUUACAUGGACAAAAAAAUAAACAAAAAAAAACACCCUUGGUGGCUGUCACGAUCCAGGCCUCUGUGGCUCUCUCCAAUAGCCACCGGUGGGCACCUUCUCCUGAGUUUUGAUUCCGUAUUGGACUCCAUUACCCAUAUGCCCCAUACCUCAGACUAAUCACCACCAGGUGUUCCCAAUCUCACUCCCCAUAUAAGCUGGUUCCAGACUCUCACUCAAGGUGAAGUCUUGUUAAGCCUGUCUAGCAUUGCUGGGCGUUUAUUUCUGAUUGUUUACCUGUGCAUUAUCUUGGACUGACCCUCUUCUACUGAUUCUCUGCCGCCUGCCCUUCUGACACUCUGCUUUGAUUCUGACCUGUUACCUGCCUGUUGCCUGCCCUGAUCCAAGCCUGCUUUACUUACAGAUGGCUCACAAAACAUUGUGGAUGAUGUGGAAACAGUCAUGUAUGAUAACAGAGUGGAUGAUUGGUAUGAUAACCUCACAAACCUCAUCUGAGCUCCAGCUACUACAACAAAAACGUUUUUCUGCUUUGAUGUGCCUCUAGAAUAAGUCCAGACAGUGAAAGUGAGAAAUGAAUUUGAGCUAUUAAACUCUCAAGUAACAGCUUCUUUGGUUUUAGAUAAACAAGGAAACAAGUUGAUAAAAAUAUUUCAUAAUUUAAUAAUGUUACACUUCAUUCUUACUCUGUUAACAUAACACUAGUUUGACUCUUACAGCUUUGGUAUUGUUUAGUUGUAGUCGGUGUCAGGAAGUGUCAUGUAGGCAAUUUAUGUCAUGUUUUAGCACAGCAGUAUUUCUCUAUCCAUAGUGUUUGCUGUUUUAUAUUAAACACCACUAUCAGUUUAAUGUUCAUAUUCAGCAUCAAUUAGAAUGUGUUUUAAAGCCAACAUCACAUGAUCACCUCCUCAUGCGUAGAAAUUCAUCAGAAUGUAUGUAAAAACAAACAGUUCAGAAACAUCUUUGAUCGUCCAGAACCACAAUCAGUGUUGCUCAACUAGACAGAAGAAUUUGAUGUUUAUUGUAGAAAUUAAUCAGCUAUCAUUCUUAUCAGUGUUUUACUUUGCAUUUAAUUUGAAUUGUAAACUUUGUUCCAUUAUUUGCUAUCCUCUAAUCUGAAUAUGAUUGUUUUUUGUCUUCUAAUCUGAUCUGAAUAACAAACUUUGACCUGAAUUUAUAGUAUUCAUACUGAAAUUAGCCUUAUUGCACUUGUAGUAAAAAAAAAAAAAAAAAAUUAAAGAUAAAGGCUUUUGCUCAACUCUAGUUCUUAGUGAUAUGAUAGCACAUUGUGCCGUGCCUUU